AUGAAUUUCGCUCUACACCCUUUGUGACAUACCUACAACUGUUGCUUCGGCGGGUAGGGUCUCCGUGACCCUCCCGGCCUCCCGCCCCCGGGCGGGUCGGCGCCCGCCGGAGGAUAACCAAACUCUGAUUUAACGACGUUUCUUCUGAGUGGUACAAGCAAAUAAUCAAAACUUUUAACAACGGAUCUCUUGGUUCUGGCAUCGAUGAAGAACGCAACGAAAUGCGAUAAGUAAUGUGAAUUGCAGAAUUCAGUGAAUCAUCGAAUCUUUGAACGCACAUUGCGCCCGCCAGCAUUCUGGCGGGCAUGCCUGUUCGAGCGUCAUUUCAACCCUCAAGCUCUGCUUGGUGUUGGGGCCCUACAGCUGAUGUAGGCCCUCAAAGGUAGUGGCGGACCCUCCCGGACCCUCCUUUGCGUAGUAACUUUACGUCUCGCACUGGGAUCCGGAGGGACUCUUGCCGUAAAACCCCCAAUUUUCCACAGGUUGACCUCGGAUCAGGUAGGAAUACCCGCUGAACUUAAGCAUAUCAAUAAGCGGAGGAAGAGGAA
rnacentral:rRNA from 1 species